UACGUAGGCAGCGAGCGUUGUUCGGAGUUACUGGGCGUAAAGGGUGUGUAGGCGGUUGUUUAAGUUUGGUGUGAAAUCUCCCGGCUCAACUGGGAGGGUGCGCCGAAUACUGAAUGACUUGGAGUGCGGGAGAGGAGAGUGGAAUUCCUGGUGUAGCGGUGAAAUGCGUAGAUAUCAGGAGGAACACAGGUGGUGUAGACGGCUCUCUGGACCGUAACUGACGCUGAGACACGAAAGCGUGGGUAGCAAACAGG
rnacentral:rRNA from 1 species